CUUGAAAGGCAUGUUGCUCAUCUGAAUCAUGAGACUGUCCGAGAGUGAGGAUAAUAAGUAGAUGCUCCUGCUCUAGAUGACAGUGCCCCAGGCCUUGGGGUAGUGGUGACAAAUAGCUUGUUUCCAAUGUCUCUGUUGUUGCCUGGAUCAUUCACUUGCUGGAGCUCAGCACAGUUCUAAAAAUACUUCUCUUCAUUGACUUCUUACAUGAGAUGACUGUGAUCCACGUCGUCAAAUACCCUCCUUUAUCUGAGAUGUCUAUUUUUCUAAGCCAAACACUUUUCAGACUGCAGAAUGUUCUUCGCAGAAUCAUUUUGAAAUUUCUAGCUGCCUUACUUGUUUACAUGUUAUGUUAAAACUAUUUAAAUGUCUUCUUAUAGGGCUGGAGGUGUAGCUUGGGGGGCGAGCAGGUACAAGGCCCUGGGUUUCAUCUGCAGCACCGCAAAACAUAAAUAAAUUUCUACUUAGGAUUUGCUCUUCCACAAAAUAAAACCUUUGGGCUGGGGAUUUAGCUCAGUGGUGCCACCACCUGCCUUGCAAGCGUAAGGUCCUGAGUUCGAUCCCCAGUACCAAAAAAAAAAAAAAAAUCCUUUAAUGUCACAGUAGUGUGUGGGGUUAAACUCGUCUAAAAUGAAUGUAUUUGUCACCACUCAGUUAUCUUUGGCAGUUAGAAUAGGAAUGCUACUAGGAACUGGGACCACAGAAUGUUACCCCACACCUAAUGUUAGCCAGCAGCUUCAGUUGGAUUCUGGCAAGCCCUUCUGAGCUGUUUACAAGUGAUUAAGCAGACAAGUCUCCUUUUGCGCAUCUCCAUUAUUUACCCCCCUCUGAGGUCUAGUGGGAGGAUGUGUAAUGAAAGGACCAAAAUAACAAUAAUAAAAGGCAGCUAAUGGGAAGGAAAAACAAAAGCCUGGCUAAUAUACACACCAUUACCUCCAAUGACUUGAGAAUUGCCUGUAAACUACUGUAGAUAAUAAAUCGCAUGUCAUAUGCUAUCUGGUUUAACACAACAACCUAUUUGUUAUCAUUACAAUUUUGACUACUAUUAAAGAAGCCAGCUCUCUGUUUUGAUAAAAGUAAUCUUAAAAGCUGAGGCAAUGCUAUGUGUAUUUACUGAAACAUUGGGGGGAUUAGAUUGAAAGACAUAUUGUGUGUUUUAAAACUUCACUACUUUCAUUUUCUGACAACACCAACUUAACAGGAGGCAGUGUUAAAUAUUUUGAAUGGUGCUAUUGUGUUCGGAUGCUCACACUGGCAGGUAUGCAUCAUAACUGACCCAGCUUUAAUUACAUCCAAGUCAGACCUGCUCACGGUCACUUUGUACAGUUCAGUGACUUACUGUAUUUAUGGAAGUGGUGACUCCUACCGAAUCAGUAGAAGUUCCCUUUUUACAAAAAUAGAGUAAGACCUGCUUGCAAUAUUCAUGUUGACAUCAGAAUAAUGCGAAGAAUUACAGCAAAUAUUUCCUGUUUGUUAUUAUACAGUUCUUUGAAGAUAUCAUAAAGGUUUAAUUGUAUAUUUAUAUCAUGUGCUUUAUGGUUUUCUCCUCAUAUUCCCAAGUGAUUUUUUUAUUUACAUAUAUCUAAAUAAAGUUUGUCCUCUUUAAAGGUGAUCAGUGAGUUUUUGUAUAAAUUAUCAGGGUUAGGGCCAGGCGUGGUGGAGCAUGCCUGUAAUCCCAGCACUUGAGAAGCAGAGACGGGAGGGUUGCCUUGAGUUCAAGGCUAGCCCUCAGCUACAUAGUGAGUUCAGGGCCGGCCUGAACUACAAAGUGAGACCCUGUCUCAAAAAUCCAAAAGAAGAAAACAUUUUUAAAAUAAAU
ensembl:lncRNA